CACUCCUACGGGAGGCAGCAGUGGGGAAUUUUGGACAAUGGGGGCAACCCUGAUCCAGCAAUGCCGCGUGAGUGAAGAAGGCCUUCGGGUUGUAAAGCUCUUUUGUCAGGGAAGAAACGGUGGUGGCGAAUAACUACUACUAAUGACGGUACCUGAAGAAUAAGCACCGGCUAACUACGUGCCAGCAGCCGCGGUAAUACGUAGGGUGCAAGCGUUAAUCGGAAUUACUGGGCGUAAAGCGUGCGCAGGCGGUUGUGUAAGUCAGAUGUGAAAUCCCCGGGCUCAACCUGGGAAUUGCAUUUGAGACUGCACGGCUAGAGUGUGUCAGAGGGGGGUAGAAUUCCACGUGUAGCAGUGAAAUGCGUAGAUAUGUGGAGGAAUACCGAUGGCGAAGGCAGCCCCCUGGGAUAACACUGACGCUCAUGCACGAAAGCGUGGGGAGCAAACAGGAUUAGAUACCCUAGUAGUCCCA
rnacentral:rRNA from 1 species